UACGGAGGGUGCAAGCGUUAUCCGAGUUUAUUGGGUUUAAAGGGUCCGUAGGCGGAUCUGUAAGUCAGUGGUGAAAUCUCACAGCUUAACUGUGAAACUGCCAUUGAUACUGCAGGUCUUGAGUAAAGUAGAAGUGGCUGGAAUAAGUAGUGUAGCGGUGAAAUGCAUAGAUAUUACUUAGAACACCAAUUGCGAAGGCAGGUCACUAUGUUUUAACUGACGCUGAUGGACGAAAGCGUGGGGAGCGAACAGG
rnacentral:rRNA from 1 species